rnacentral:miRNA from 1 species
UACAGCCUCUUUGACUGGAAGGAAUCCCUUCUGGUCAAAGGGUUUGUAUAGCCUCUUCAACUGGAAGGAAUCCCUUCUGGUCAAAGAGGCUGUAUAACCCCUUUGACUGUAAGGGAUUCCUUCCAGUCAAAGGGGCUGUA